rnacentral:rRNA from 1 species
CACGUAGGGACCAAGCGUUGUCCGGAUUCAUUGGGCGUAAAGAGCUCGUAGGCGGUCUGUCGCGUCGAUCGUGAAAACUUGGGGCUUAACCCUGAGCUUGCGGUCGAUACGGGCAUGACUGGAGUUCGGCAGGGGAGACUGGAAUUCCUGGUGUAGCGGUGAAAUGCGCAGAUAUCAGGAGGAACACCGGUGGCGAAGGCGAGUCUCUGGACAUUUCCUGACGCUGAGGCACGAAAGCCAGGGGAGCAAACGGG